rnacentral:lncRNA from 13 species
AUGGCCAGGUUGUAUUUCGCCUCCAGGAGUUCAUUGAUGAAAUCAUGGGACACGGUUCUGAAAGCAUGCUGCCUGGAAGUGGGUCUGUUCCUAAGAAGUCACCUGAAGCUCCCUUUAGAACCUACCAAGCUUUCAUGUGGGCCCUGUACAAAUACUUCAUUGGUUUCAAAGAGGAACUUGCAGAAAUUGAGAAGUGCAUCAUCAAUAAAGGUCUCCCUCCUGUUCUCUCCCUGGGUGGAAACGGUGUGGCCUUACCUGAAGACAGUGGAUGAGUGGAUCAUGCAUGGGCACCUAUGGGACAAUGCCAGGGAGUUCUUCAUCAUCCAGAGACUUUACCUUGUGGGAUCAGAGUGGAGACUGCUGUUCCUGAGCCCUGCUGAGAGUCAUUUCUGGUGUGGCAGAGUUGACAAGCCACCUGCUUCUUGA